rfam:Streptomyces rubellomurinus strain ATCC 31215 contig-193, whole genome shotgun sequence.
CUUCAACGCGCCCAGCCACAGCGGCCGUUCGGUGUCCCGCUGCUUGCCGUAGGUGGCCAGCAGGGCCUGCGCCUC